rnacentral:rRNA from 1 species
GACGAACGCUGGCGGCGUGCUUAACACAUGCAAGUCGAACGGUAAGGCCCUUCGGGGUACACGAGUGGCGAACGGGUGAGUAACACGUGGGUGAUCUGCCCUGCACUUUGGGAUAAGCCUGGGAAACUGGGUCUAAUACCGGAUAGGACCACUGCCUGCAUGGGUGGUGGUGGAAAGCUUUUGCGGUGUGGGGUGGGCCCGCGGCCUAUCAGCUUGUUGGUGGGGUGAUGGCCUACCAAGGCGACGACGGGUAGCCGGCCUGAGAGGGUGACCGGCCACACUGGGACUGAGAUACGGCCCAGACUCCUACGGGAGGCAGCAGUGGGGAAUAUUGCACAAUGGGCGCAAGCCUGAUGCAGCGACGCCGCGUGAGGGAUGACGGCCUUCGGGUUGUAAACCUCUUUCAGCACCGACGAAGCGCAAGUGACGGUAGGUGCAGAAGAAGGACCGGCCAACUACGUGCCAGCAGCCGCCGUAA